UUCGGCCUUAGUGGCGCACGGGUGCGUAACGCGUGGGAAUCUGCCCUUGGGUUCGGAAUAACAGUUAGAAAUGACUGCUAAUACCGGAUGAUGACGAAAGUCCAAAGAUUUAUCGCCCAGGGAUGAGCCCGCGUAGGAUUAGGUAGUUGGUGGGGUAAAGGCCUACCAAGCCGACAAUCCUUAGCUGGUCUGAGAGGAUGAUCAGCCACACUGGGACUGAGACACGGCCCAGACUCCUACGGGAGGCAGCAGUGGGGAAUAUUGGACAAUGGGGGCAACCCUGAUCCAGCCAUGCCGCGUGAGUGAUGAAGGCCUUCGGGUUGUAAAGCUCUUUUGGCGGGGACGAUGAUGACGGUACCCGCAGAAUAAGCCCCGGCUAACUUCGUGCCAGCAGCCGCGGCAAGACGAAGGGGGCUAGCGUUGUUCGGAAUUACUGGGCGUAAAGCG
rnacentral:rRNA from 1 species